rnacentral:rRNA from 1 species
UCCCGGCGGUCCAAGUCGCAUCCACAAUUAUUGGGUCUAAAACAUCCGUAGCUUGUUUUGUAAGUCUCUUGUGAAAUCUGGUAUCUCAAGUAUCAGGCGUGCAAGAGAUACUGCAGAGCUUUGAGACCGGAAGACGCAAAGAGUAUGAUUAAGGUAGUGGUAAAAUAUGUUAAUCUUAAUCAGACUAACAAUGGCGAAGGCACUUUGCGAGUACGGAUCUGACAGUGAGGGAUGAAGGCUAGGGG